UCCGGGUUGGUCCCGGCGGUCCCGCCAGACGUGGUAACUGGCGGCGGGGGUUGCGCUCGUUGCGGGACUUAACCCAACACCUCACGGCACGAGCUGACGACAGCCGUGCAGCACCUGUGCAGGCUCCCUCGCGGGUCCCUCGCCUUUCGGCUCGGUACCACCUGCAUGUCAAGCCCGGGUAAGGUUCUUCGCGUUGCAUCGAAUUAAACCACAUGCUCCACCGCCUGUGCAGGCCCCCGUCAAUUCCUUUGAGUUUCGGUCUUGCGACCGUACUCCCCAGGCGGAGUGUUUCACGCGUUAGCUGGGCCCCUGAUCCACGUAGACCAAGGGCGAACACUCAUCGUUUACGGCAUGGACUAC
rnacentral:misc_RNA from 1 species